rnacentral:rRNA from 1 species
GUGCCAGCCGCCGCGGUAAUACGUAGGGUGCAAGCAUUAUCCGGAGUGACUGGGCGUAAAGAGUUGCGUAGGCGGUUUAAUAAGUGAAUAGUGAAACCUGGUGGCUCAACCAUACAGACUAUUAUUCAAACUGUUAAACUCGAGAAUGGUAGAGGUAACUGGAAUUUCUUGUGUAGGAGUGAAAUCCGUAGAUAUAAGAAGGAACACCAAUGGCGUAGGCAGGUUACUGGGCCAUUUCUGACGCUAAGGCACGAAAGCGUGGGGAGCGAACCGGAUUAGAUACCCGGGUAGUCCACGCCGUAAACGAUGGAUACUAGCUGUUGGAGGUAUCGACCCCUUCAGUAGCGAAGCUAACGCGUUAAGUAUCCCGCCUGUGGAGUACGGCCGCAAGGCUAAAACUCAAAUAAAUUGGCGG